GACGAACGCUGGCGGCGUGCUUAACACAUGCAAGUCGAACGCUGAAGAGAGGAGCUUGCUCUUCUUGGAUGAGUUGCGAACGGGUGAGUAACGCGUAGGUAACCUGCCUUGUAGCGGGGGAUAACUAUUGGAAACGAUAGCUAAUACCGCAUAACAAUGGAUGACUCAUGUCAUUUAUUUGAAAGGGGCAAAUGCUCCACUACAAGAUGGACCUGCGUUGUAUUAGCUAGUAGGUGAGGUAACGGCUCACCUAGGCGACGAUACAUAGCCGACCUGAGAGGGUGAUCGGCCACACUGGGACUGAGACACGGCCCAGACUCCUACGGGAGGCAGCAGUAGGGAAUCUUCGGCAAUGGGGGCAACCCUGACCGAGCAACGCCGCGUGAGUGAAGAAGGUUUUCGGAUCGUAAAGCUCUGUUGUAAGUCAAGAACGAGUGUGAGAGUGGAAAGUUCACACUGUGACGGUAGCUUACCAGAAAGGGACGGCUAACUACGUGCCAGCAGCCGCGGUAAUACGUAGGUCCCGAGCGUUGUCCGGAUUUAUUGGGCGUAAAGCGAGCGCAGGCGGUUUGAUAAGUCUGAAGUUAAAGGCUGUGGCUCAACCAUAGUUCGCUUUGGAAACUGUCAAACUUGAGUGCAGAAGGGGAGAGUGGAAUUCCAUGUGUAGCGGUGAAAUGCGUAGAUAUAUGGAGGAACACCGGUGGCGAAAGCGGCUCUCUGGUCUGUAACUGACGCUGAGGCUCGAAAGCGUGGGAGCGAACAGG
rnacentral:rRNA from 1 species